AUAGGUUUCUAUGGGCACCUAACGCGACCAGAUUCCGGUCUGCCUAAAGGGCCGUGUCAUAAUGCUCCUACAAUGAAUAGAACAGUCCUUAGGUCUGCCUAAGGGGGGCCAUAAUAGAACCAGGAAACAAUGGGCCAAUGGAACCUCUCUCUCUCUACUCUCUCUGAUUAAGCGUUUACAUGUCCAAAACAAAAGAGAACUCAUGACUUGAUCAUAAUGACACACAUGGCUACAACGAGUCACACCGUGCCAUUCAAAAGACCAUUGGAGUAGGCCUACUAAUCAAACUGACCUGUUUUUUUGUUUUGUUUUCCUUAAAGGAGCUUGAUGGCCAUUAUUUAUACGUUUAUAAAUAACCUUUAAUUUCUACUCUGUGUUAUUUGUUCUUGCAAUAAAGGAUACGCCUGACAAUUUAUUUGCAUCUAAUAGUACUCGUGCACCAGCCAACUGCAUCUGAUUCAUAUACUGUAGGGUAUAUGGGAACUGACAAAAUGUUGUGACCACAAUGUCAGACCUGUAAUGUUGAAAGAUACUCACAGUCAUGCAUGUUUUUUGUUGAUGUUAGUUUAUAUACUACAAUGGUUAAUUUAUCAGUAUUAUUUAACUGAUGUCCUGAACUCAUAUCUUCUUGAUAGAUUGUCUAGCCUCCAAGUAAUGGCACCAUAUCGAAGAGCACAAUGAGAGAUGAUUAUUUCUGUGAAAGGACAAUAAAAUAAAUUCAAAUGUUUGUAACAUA